GGGAGGGAUGAAAAGACUGUUGGCUGCAAGAUCCUCUUGAUGACAGAAAAUGUCAUAUAAUUACGUUACAAAAUGCUCAUCCAUCCUUAAGCGCUCACAAGAUGACUGCCUAUUAGAAAAUGUCGUGCCGCAAUCCCCUGCAUUGCUCUAUGGACAGACGCAGCACUGAAAGACCCUACAGACGGCUCCUAAACAUAGUGACCUAAAUAAUGCUAAGAUGACUUAAGUCGCACACAUACGCUCCUCAAUCUCUGAGCAGUGAAAUGAAACAAGGUCGGUCUAAUCAGACUAAAAGCACAGACUCUGCUAUAGUAUGAAUUCCAGAUUUGUAUCUUAUGGUAGGAACAAAGUGCAGGAUUUCUUUCUUUCUUUCUUUUGCUAUUGUGUUGUUGUUUUUUUCCCCUCGGAGGGUUUUUUCUCAGCUAUGGUUGCAGUUUCAUUCUGACAUCAUGGAGGUUGAGGCAGCCACUGAAGUAUGGUUUUAAUCAUUCACACGCGAAAAAACCUGAUUAAAAUACAAAAUUUCACCUUAAGCAACACCAAAGGUAAACAUGUGUGUAUGACUUUCCUUGUAACAGCAAUUCUUCUUACUUUUGAGAUAAAUAGGUUUUUUUUGUUCCGCUGCAUAAAAGAAAUCGCCAGCAUUUAAUGCGGAUGAUAAAGAAGGACAAUUGUAGAAAUUAGACUAAAAUAAAAAGGAAACAGGAUUACUAUAAUAAAAAUAAUUUUUAGGAAGUGAGGGGGAGUCAUCCACAUUCCUAAAAUAAACUUAAAUUGCAUUGAAGGUGUAAUACUGAGAAAAGAGAUUAAAUAUGGUUUCAAAUGCAUUGAAUGUGACCCUUUUUGCUUCCUAUUCAAUGCCAGCAUUUCCCCAAGGAGGGAUAUUAAAGAGGAAUAGAACAGCUUGCUCUGAUCAAGGCUGCAUUCCUAUAAGACUGAAGUGUUGGUUAAAAUAGAAAACAAGAUCCAAAAUAAUCCUACCUGGUUAUACAAUGGUCAAAUCUUUUCUUUCUACAAUACGCCACUGUUGUUGUUCUCUGCAUCCUCUUCCCUCCAUGACCAACACACAGAAAUUGAGAUCUGAUGAGAUUUUGCAAAACAGCUCAAAUAUUUCUAAUUCACUUCUUUGUGUUUUCUGCAAAUCCUUGUAAUCAUACAUUAUACACUCAUAUAAUAUGCUCUGCUAUGUGGCUGAUUAAUUUAAUGAAAACGUGGUUUCACUACAAAUUGUUGUCUCUCCAAAGGAAUCCUCAACAAUAAAUAUGGCUGCAUCUUCAAUACAUUUAUUUCUUAGUUCUAAGUAAACACAGCCAGUAGUUUGGGAUAUUAUUAAGAAAAAUUCCACUCAAAUAACAGAGUGCUGUAUAAGUGCCUAACAUAAUGCCAACCACAAUAUUUGCCAAAUUUCAAUUCCAUUUUUAUAAUGUGUUGAAUAGUGAAUUGCAUCUCAAUACAGUACGUUCUUAUUCAGAUACUAGAGGGUUUAUUCCCAAGCAAAUAUACUAUGUUCCAACCAAGUAGACAUGUAUAAUACUGUAAUUAUCUUUUGUCUUUUUUUAAUCUCCCUGCUUUUAUACACUGCUUUAUUUCUGAAUAUCAAAGACCCAUCAAAUUGAAGAUUUUAAUAAAAUUUAGCAUCUCUUUCCAAAAGCAUGACAACAGCCAAAUGGCAAUGGAGGAAAUUCAUAAAUUACAAGGGCUGGGCUCAUAGUCAGGUAUGACUCACCCAUAUUAUUGCAAAAGAAGCAUUCUUUUCCUGAGGCCAUGGUGAUACCCACAGCUUUACUGCAAUAUAUGUAGUUAAUAUUUUGAAACUAGGAAUCAUGUUCCAUGACAAAAUUUCUGAUGACAGGAAUGAACUUGGAUUUUAUAAUCUCAUCAGAAUAGUAGGGUUGACAUGUGCUUAUACCAAUGCAUGACUGCACUAUUGUAUGUUUGUAGCAGUGAAAGUCACAUAUUCAUACCUCUUUCUCUCUGAUCCACUCACCACCCAUAACUACUAUUGUAUCUUUGAUGACUGGUGAAAUAAUAACUUGGUUUGUGGGAGAAUCAAGAUUAUGAACACAAAUUGUAUCCACUUUAGGAAAAUAAAAAGGUAUUUAAAGCUU